UGGGGGAUAUUGCACAAUGGGCGAAAGCCUGAUGCAGCGACGCCGCGAGGGGGAUGAAGGCUUUCGGGUUGUAAACCUCUUUCGCUAUCGAACAAGGCCCGCUUAGGGUGGGUUGAGGGUAGGUGGAGAAGAAGCGCCGGCUAACUACGUGCCAGCAGCCGCGGUAAUACGUAGGGCGCGAGCGUUGUCCGGAAUUAUUGGGCGUAAAGGGCUUGUAGGCGGCUUGUUGCGCCUGCUGUGAAAACGCGGGGCUUAACUUCGCGCGUGCAGUGGGUACGGGCAGGCUUGAGUGUGGUAGGGGUGACUGGAAUUCCAGGUGUAGCGGUGGAAUGCGCAGAUAUCUGGAGGAACACCGAUGGCGAAGGCAGGUCACUGGGCCAUUACUGACGCUGAGGAGCGAAAGCAUGGGUAGCGAACAGG
rnacentral:rRNA from 1 species